GCUGGGUAGAGUGGUGCCUACCUGUAAUCCCAGCCUCUCAGGAGGCUGAGGCAGGAGGAUCACAAGUUCAAAGCCAGCCUCAGCAAAAGUGAGAUACUCAGCAACUCAGUGAGACCCUGUUUCUA
rnacentral:sRNA from 1 species